rnacentral:rRNA from 1 species
GGACGGGGGGGGGUGCCUAAUACAUGCAAGUCGAACGAGUUCUGAUUAUUGAAAGGUGCUUGCAUCUUGAUUUAAUUUUGAACGAGUGGCGGACGGGUGAGUAACACGUGGGUAACCUGCCCUUAAGUGGGGGAUAACAUUUGGAAACAGAUGCUAAUACCGCAUAAAUCCAAGAACCGCAUGGUUCUUGGCUGAAAGAUGGCGUAAGCUAUCGCUUUUGGAUGGACCCGCGGCGUAUUAGCUAGUUGGUGAGGUAACGGCUCACCAAGGCAAUGAUACGUAGCCGAACUGAGAGGUUGAUCGGCCACAUUGGGACUGAGACACGGCCCAAACUCCUACGGGAGGCAGCAGUAGGGAAUCUUCCACAAUGGACGCAAGUCUGAUGGAGCAACGCCGCGUGAGUGAAGAAGGCUUUCGGGUCGUAAAACUCUGUUGUUGGAGAAGAAUGGUCGGCAGAGUAACUGUUGUCGGCGUGACGGUAUCCAACCAGAAAGCCACGGCUAACUACGUGCCAGCAGCCGCGGUAAUACGUAGGUGGCAAGCGUUAUCCGGAUUUAUUGGGCGUAAAGCGAGCGCAGGCGGUUUUUUAAGUCUGAUGUGAAAGCCCUCGGCUUAACCGAGGAAGUGCAUCGGAAACUGGGAAACUUGAGUGCAGAAGAGGACAGUGGAACUCCAUGUGUAGCGGUGAAAUGCGUAGAUAUAUGGAAGAACACCAGUGGCGAAGGCGGCUGUCUGGUCUGUAACUGACGCUGAGGCUCGAAAGCAUGGGUAGCGAACAGGAUUAGAUACCCUGGUAGUCCAUGCCGUAAACGAUGAAUGCUAGGUGUUGGAGGGUUUCCGCCCUUCAGUGCCGCAGCUAACGCAUUAAGCAUUCCGCCUGGGGAGUACGACCGCAAGGUUGAAACUCAAAGGAAUUGACGGGGGCCCGCACAAGCGGUGGAGCAUGUGGUUUAAUUCGAAGCAACGCGAAGAACCUUACCAGGUCUUGACAUCUUUUGAUCACCUGAGAGAUCAGGUUUCCCCUUCGGGGGCAAAAUGACAGGUGGUGCAUGGUUGUCGUCAGCUCGUGUCGUGAGAUGUUGGGUUAAGUCCCGCAACGAGCGCAACCCUUAUGACUAGUUGCCAGCAUUUAGUUGGGCACUCUAGUAAGACUGCCGGUGACAAACCGGAGGAAGGUGGGGAUGACGUCAAAUCAUCAUGCCCCUUAUGACCUGGGCUACACACGUGCUACAAUGGAUGGUACAACGAGUUGCGAGACCGCGAGGUCAAGCUAAUCUCUUAAAGCCAUUCUCAGUUCGGACUGUAGGCUGCAACUCGCCUACACGAAGUCGGAAUCGCUAGUAAUCGCGGAUCAGCACGCCGCGGUGAAUACGUUCCCGGGCCUUGUACACACCGCCCGUCACACCAUGAGAGUUUGUAACACCCGAAGCCGGUGGCGUAACCCUUUUAGGGAGCGAGCCGUCUAAGGGGGACCAAAAUUG